rnacentral:rRNA from 1 species
UACGUAGGGCGCAAGCGUUAUCCGGAAUUAUUGGGCGUAAAGAGCUCGUAGGCGGUUUGUCGCGUCUGCCGUGAAAGUCCGGGGCUCAACUCCGGAUCUGCGGUGGGUACGGGCAGACUAGAGUGAUGUAGGGGAGACUGGAAUUCCUGGUGUAGCGGUGAAAUGCGCAGAUAUCAGGAGGAACACCGAUGGCGAAGGCAGGUCUCUGGGCAUUAACUGACGCUGAGGAGCGACAGCGUGGGGAGCGAACAGG